rnacentral:misc_RNA from 1 species
GAAAUGCGAUAAGUAAUGUGAAUUGCAGAAUUCAGUGAAUCAUCGAAUCUUUGAACGCACAUUGCGCCCGCCAAUAUUCUGGCGGGCAUGCCUGUUCGAGCGUCAUUACAACCCUCAGGCCCCCGGGCCUGGCGUUGGGGAUCGGCGGAAGCCCCCUGCGGGCACAACGCCGUCCCCCAAAUACAGUGGCGGUCCCGCCGCAGCUUCCAUUGCGUAGUAGCUAACACCUCGCAACUGGAGAGCGGCGCGGCCACGCCGUAAAACACCCAACUUCUGAAUGUUGACCUCGAAUCAGGUAGGAAUACCCGCUGAACUUAAGC